AGUGAACGCUGGCGGUAGGCCUAACACAUGCAAGUCGAACGGCAGCACAGGAGAGCUUGCUCUCUGGGUGGCGAGUGGCGGACGGGUGAGGAAUACAUCGGAAUCUACUCUGUCGUGGGGGAUAACGUAGGGAAACUUACGCUAAUACCGCAUACGACCUACGGGUGAAAGCAGGGGAUCUUCGGACCUUACGCGAUUGAAUGAGCCGAUGUCGGAUUAGCUAGUUGGCGGGGUAAAGGCCCACCAAGGCGACGAUCCGUAGCUGGUCUGAGAGGAUGAUCAGCCACACUGGAACUGAGACACGGUCCAGACUCCUACGGGAGGCAGCAGUGGGGAAUAUUGGACAAUGGGCGCAAGCCUGAUCCAGCCAUACCGCGUGGGUGAAGAAGGCCUUCGGGUUGUAAAGCCCUUUUGUUGGGAAAGAAAUCCAGCCGGCUAAUACCUGGUUGGGAUGACGGUACCCAAAGAAUAAGCACCGGCUAACUUCGUGCCAGCCGCCGCCGUAACAC
rnacentral:rRNA from 1 species